AUUGAACGCUGGCGGCAUGCUUUACACAUGCAAGUCGAACGGUAACAGGCCUUCGGGUGCUGACGAGUGGCGAACGGGUGAGUAAUGCAUCGGAACGUGCCCAAUCGUGGGGGAUAACGUAGCGAAAGUUACGCUAAUACCGCAUAAGCCCUGAGGGGGAAAGCAGGGGAUCGCAAGACCUUGCGCGAAUGGAGCGGCCGAUGUCAGAUUAGCUAGUUGGUGGGGUAAAGGCCUACCAAGGCGACGAUCUGUAGCGGGUCUGAGAGGAUGAUCCGCCGCACUGGGACUGAGACACGGCCCAGACUCCUACGGGAGGCAGCAGUGGGGAAUUUUGGACAAUGGGCGCAAGCCUGAUCCAGCCAUGCCGCGUGCGGGACGAAGGCC
rnacentral:rRNA from 1 species